GGAGGGAUGGCCGAGUGGACGAAGGCGGCGGCCUUGAAAGCCGCAGACCCUCUUCGAGGGUCCGGGGGUUCGAAUCCCUCUCCCUCCGCCA
rnacentral:tRNA from 1 species